rnacentral:rRNA from 3 species
ACGACUCUCGACAACGGAUAUCUCGGCUCUCGCAUCGAUGAAGAACGUAGCGAAAUGCGAUACUUGGUGUGAAUUGCAGAAUCCCGUGAACCAUCGAGUCUUUGAACGCAAGUUGCGCCCGAAGCCGUCAGGCCGAGGGCACGCCUGCCUGGGUGUCAC